rnacentral:rRNA from 1 species
GACGAACGCUGGCGGCGUGCUUAACACAUGCAAGUCGAACGAUGAAGCCUAGCUUGCUAGGUGGAUUAGUGGCGAACGGGUGAGUAAUACGUGAGUGACCUACCUUUGACUCUGGGAUAAGCCUGGGAAAUUGGGUCUAAUACCGGAUACGACCAAUCUCCGCAUGGGGUGUUGGUGGAAAGCGUUAUGGAGUGGUUUUAGAUGGGCUCACGGCCUAUCAGCUUGUUGGUGAGGUAAUGGCUUACCAAGGCGACGACGGGUAGCCGGCCUGAGAGGGUGACCGGCCACACUGGGACUGAGACACGGCCCAGACUCCUACGGGAGGCAGCAGUGGGGAAUAUUGCACAAUGGGCGCAAGCCUGAUGCAGCGACGCCGCGUGAGGGAUGACGGCCUUCGGGUUGUAAACCUCUGUUAGCAUCGAAGAAGCGAAAGUGACGGUAGGUGCAGAGAAAGCGCCGGCUAACUACGUGCCAGCAGCCGCGGUAAUACGUAGGGCGCGAGCGUUGUCCGGAAUUAUUGGGCGUAAAGAGCUUGUAGGCGGUUGGUCGCGUCUGCUGUGAAGGCUGGGGCUUAACCCUGGUUUUGCAGUGGGUACGGGCUAACUAGAGUGCAGUAGGGGAGACUGGAAUUCCUGGUGUAGCGGUGGAAUGCGCAGAUAUCAGGAGGAACACCGAUGGCGAAGGCAGGUCUCUGGGCUGUAACUGACGCUGAGAAGCGAAAGCAUGGGGAGCGAACAGGAUUAGAUACCCUGGUAGUCCAUGCCGUAAACGUUGGGCACUAGGUGUGGGGGACAUUCCACGUUUUCCGCGCCGUAGCUAACGCAUUAAGUGCCCCGCCUGGGGAGUACGGCCGCAAGGCUAAAACUCAAAGAAAUUGACGGGGGCCCGCACAAGCGGCGGAGCAUGCGGAUUAAUUCGAUGCAACGCGAAGAACCUUACCAAGGCUUGACAUAUACUGGACUGCGUCAGAGAUGGCGUUUCCCUUCGGGGCUGGUAUACAGGUGGUGCAUGGUUGUCGUCAGCUCGUGUCGUGAGAUGUUGGGUUAAGUCCCGCAACGAGCGCAACCCUCGUUCUAUGUUGCCAGCACGUGAUGGUGGGGACUCAUAGGAGACUGCCGGGGUUAACUCGGAGGAAGGUGGGGAUGACGUCAAAUCAUCAUGCCCCUUAUGCCUUGGGCUUCACGCAUGCUACAAUGGCCGGUACAGAGGGUUGCGAUACUGUGAGGUGGAGCUAAUCCCUAAAAGCCGGUCUCAGUUCGGAUUGGGGUCUGCAACUCGACCCCAUGAAGUCGGAGUCGCUAGUAAUCGCAGAUCAGCAACGCUGCGGUGAAUACGUUCCCGGGCCU